CAAGCCUGCUCCUAACAGCUCUGCUUCCAGGUCAGAGCCUGGGCGCCUCUUGACCGGCUUGGAGCUGGCACCACUGGAAAGUGGCUUCCCCUCCUGGCAGUGUCACCACUUACAGAGGAGGUCUCAAGCUCCAGAGAGAGCAAGUGACAGCCCCAGGCCGCACGGAGUCGGGGCAGCUGGUCGAGCCCUGAUGGGUGCCUCCUGCUGGGCCCCAUCCAGGAGGCCCUAGAAGGGGCGGACGCAUAACUCGGGGAGCUGCCCAGCGUGGAAGGUGCCGCCAAAGAGCAGCGAGCCCC
ensembl:lncRNA